rnacentral:rRNA from 1 species
AUUGAACGCUGGCGGCGUGCUUUACACAUGCAAGUCGAACGGAAACAGGCCGCAAGUGGCUGACGCGUGGGGAACGGGCGAGUAAUUCACCGGAACGUGCCCUGCCCUGGGGGUUAACUACUCUACAGGGUAGUGAAUCCCGCAUACGAUCUAUGGAUCAAAUCGGGGGUCCGUAAGGCCUCGCGCGGUCGGUGCGGGCGAUGCUGGCUUCGGUAGAUGUUGGGGUAAAGGCACACCCAUCCAACGAUCUGUACCGGUUCUGAGAGUACGACCGGCCACACUGGAACUGAGACACGGCCCAGACUCCUACGGGAGGCAGCAGUGGGGAAUGUUGGACAAUGGGCGCAAGCCUGAUCCAGCAAUGCCGCGUGCAUGAAGAAGGCCUUCGGGUUGUAAACUGCUUUUGUGCGGAACGAAACGGCUCUGGUUAAUACCCGGCGCUAAUGACGGUACCGGAAAAAUAAGCACCGGCUAACUACGUG